rnacentral:rRNA from 1 species
UACGUAGGGACCGAGCGUUGUCCGGAAUCAUUGGGCGUAAAGAGCGUGUAGGCGGCCAGACAGGUCCGUUGUGAAAACUCGAGGCUCAACCUCGAGAUGUCGAUGGAAACCGUCUGGCUAGAGUCCGGAAGAGGAGUGUGGAAUUCCUGGUGUAGCGGUGAAAUGCGCAGAUAUCAGGAAGAACACCUAUGGCGAAGGCAGCACUCUGGGACGGUACUGACGCUGAGACGCGAAAGCGUGGGGAGCAAACAGG